CUCAGGAUGAACGCUGGCGGCGUGCCUAAUACAUGCAAGUCGAGCGAACAGAUAAGGAGCUUGCUCCUUUGACGUUAGCGGCGGACGGGUGAGUAACACGUGGAUAACCUACCUAUAAGACUGGGAUAACUUCGGGAAACCGGAGCUAAUACCGGAUAACAUAUUGAACCGCAUGGUUCAAUAGUGAAAGGCGGCUUUGCUGUCACUUAUAGAUGGAUCCGCGCCGUAUUAGCUAGUUGGUAAGGUAACGGCUUACCAAGGCAACGAUACGUAGCCGACCUGAGAGGGUGAUCGGCCACACUGGAACUGAGACACGGUCCAGACUCCUACGGGAGGCAGCAGUAGGGAAUCUUCCGCAAUGGGCGAAAGCCUGACGGAGCAACGCCGCGUGAGUGAUGAAGGUCUUCGGAUCGUAAAACUCUGUUAUCAGGGAAGAACAAAUGUGUAAGUAACUGUGCACAUCUUGACGGUACCUGAUCAGAAAGCCACGGCUAACUACGUGCCAGCAGCCGCGGUAAUACGUAGGUGGCAAGCGUUAUCCGGAAUUAUUGGGCGUAAAGCGCGCGUAGGCGGUUUUUUAAGUCUGAUGUGAAAGCCCACGGCUCAACCGUGGAGGGUCAUUGGAAACUGGAAAACUUGAGUGCAGAAGAGGAAAGUGGAAUUCCAUGUGUAGCGGUGAAAUGCGCAGAGAUAUGGAGGAACACCAGUGGCGAAGGCGACUUUCUGGUCUGUAACUGACGCUGAUGUGCGAAAGCGUGGGGAUCAAACAGG
rnacentral:rRNA from 1 species